rnacentral:tRNA from 1 species
GGUGAAGACGUUGGGCUAAGAACCCAAAAAUCGUGGGUUCAAGCCCG